rnacentral:rRNA from 2 species
AAUGGGUCAGCGACUUAUAUUCUGUAGCAAGGUUAACCGUAUAGGGGAGCCGAAGGGAAACCGAGUCUUAACUGGGCGUUAAGUUGCAGGGUAUAGACCCGAAACCCGGUGAUCUAGCCAUGGGCAGGUUGAAGGUUGGGUAACACUAACUGGAGGACCGAACCGACUAAUGUUGAAAAAUUAGCGGAUGACCUGUGGCUGGGGGUGAAAGGCCAAUCAAACCGGGAGAUAGCUGGUUCUCCCCGAAAGCUAUUUAGGUAGCGCCUCGUGAACUCAUCUUCGGGGGUAGAGCACUGUUUCGGCUAGGGGGCCAUCCCGGCUUACCAACCCGAUGCAAACUACGAAUACCGAAGAAUGUUAUCACGGGAGACACACGGCGGGUGCUAACGUCCGUCGUGAAGAGGGAAACAACCCAGACCGCCAGCUAAGGUCCCAAAGUCAUGGUUAAGUGGGAAACGAUGUGGGAAGGCACAGACAGCCAGGAUGUUGGCUUAGAAGCAGCCAUCAUUUAAAGAAAGCGUAAUAGCUCACUGGUCGAGUCGGCCUGCGCGGAAGAUGUAACGGGGCUAAACCAUG